UGGGGAAUAUUGCGCAAUGGACGAAAGUCUGACGCAGCAACGCCGCGUGAGUGAAGAAGGCCUUCGGGUUGUAAAGCUCUUUCGGCUGGGAAGAAGGGUGUAAGAGAUAAUACAUCUUGCAUUUGAUGGUACCAGAAGAAGAAGCACCGGCAAACUUCGUGCCAGCAGCCGCGGUAAUACGAAGGGUGCAAGCGUUGUUCGGAUUUGUUGGGCGUAAAGGGUUCGUAGGCGGGAUUAUAAGUCAAGUGUGAAAUCUCCGAGCUUAACUCGGAACGUGCAUUUGAAACUAUUUUUCUUGAGUCAUAGAGAGGGCGAUGGAAUUGUUGGUGUAGGAGUGACAUCCGUAGAGAUCAACAGGAACAUCAGAGGCGAAAGCGGUCGCCUGGCUAUGUACUGACGCUGAGGAACGAAAGCGUGGGGAGCAAACAGG
rnacentral:rRNA from 1 species